GCGCCGGUAGCUUAGUUGACAGAGCAUUGAGACGGUACCCCACGGUCCCGGGUUCAAGCCCCGGCCGACACU